rnacentral:rRNA from 1 species
AGGGAUCAUUACUGAGUGAGGGCCUAACCCGCCCGACCUCCCAACCCUUUGUAUUCCAAACCACGUUGCCUCGGGGGCUCCGGCGCGAGCCCGCCCCCGGCGGACCAACAACCAACCCUGCGUCACCGUCGUCUGAGUACCAUUGCAAAUUAAAGCAAAACUUUCAACAACGGAUCUCUUGGUUCUGGCAUCGAUGAAGAACGCAGCGAAAUGCGAUAAGUAAUGUGAAUUGCAGAAUUCCGUGAAUCAUCGAAUCUUUGAACGCACAUUGCGCCCCUCGGUAUUCCGGGGGGCAUGCCUGUUCGAGCGUCAUUUCACCACUCAAGCUCUGCUUGGUCUUGGGCGUCGCGGCCUCCGCGUGCCUCAAUGUCCCCGGCCGGUGCGUCUGUCCCCUAGCGUUGUGAUUACAGCUCGCUCGCGGGAGGGAGGUGCCGUGCCGUUAAGCCCAUUUCUAUAGGUUGACCUCGGAUCAGGUAGGGAUACCCGCUGAACUUAAGCAUAUCAAUAAGCGGAGGAAAAGAAACCAACAGGGAUUGCCCUAGUAACGGCGAGUGAAGCGGCAACAGCUCAAAUUUGAAAUCUGGCGUCAGCCCGAGUUGUAAUUUGUAGAGGAUGCUUCUAGGCAGCGGCCGGUCUAAGUUCCUUGGAACAGGACGUCACAGAGGGUGAGAAUCCCGUACGCGACCGGCUCGCACCUAACACGUAGCUCCUUCGACGAGUCGAGUUGUUUGGGAAUGCAGCUCUAAAUGGGAGGUAAAUUUCUUCUAAAGCUAAAUACCGGCCAGAGACCGAUAGCGCACAAGUAGAGUGAUCGAAAGAUGAAAAGCACUUUGGAAAGAGAGUUAAACAGCACGUGAAAUUGUUGAAAGGGAAGCGCAUGCAACCAGACUUGUCGGCGGUGUUCCGCCGGUCUUCUGACCGGUCUACUCGCCGCCGGCAGGCCAGCAUCGUUUGGGACCGCCGGAUAAAGGCGCGGGGAAUGUGGCUCUUCGGAGUGUUAUAGCCCCGCGCACAAUACGGUGCGCCCCGAGCGAGGUCCGCGCUCCGGCUAGGAUGCUGGCGUAAUGGUUGUAUGCGGCC